rnacentral:tRNA from 1 species
UAUAUUUUAGUAUAUUAUGUACAUAAGUUUUUGAGACUUAGGGAAAUAGUUAAAUUCUAUUAAAUAUAG